GAGACAUCACUAUUAGCAUUAAAUUGAUGAAAUUGGAGGUAGAUAUUCUCUCUCCCUAAUUUUCAUGAUUUUUUUUUUCUGGAAAUUUUGUCUUUGAAAGUAGCAAUGUUUUGUGUUUAUUUUUCUAGAAAAUAAUACAAUUUGGAUACAUUAGGUUUUAUUGUUUAUUAUGAUGAUAUUGUUUUUUUAAAUGCAGAGAUUUUGUUGAUUUUCAAAGUUGGAAGGCAGACAAACAGGGGUAAGAGCUUAAUUUUUUUGCUAAUGAUAAUUAUUUUCAUGUUUCUUCAUCAAAUUGUAGUUUCAAUUCAUAUCAUUUAUGAAUUUUGCAAAUCUAUCUUUGUACUUUAAAUCUAUUCUCAGGCUCAGGUUUAGUGGUGUUUUUUACAUUUUUCUUUGUUUCGUGGAUUUGGUAUAUUCCUUCAGUUAUCAUACGUUCCUUUCCUCUUUAUGCAGGUUACACAAUUUAAGAAGAGUUUAAACACUGUGAACUCUGGUGGUGAAGAGGUACUUUGCUUAUGCAACUACUAACAUUAUGUUGUUUGUAUUUCUUUGACUUUAUGCAUUUUUUCUUUGACAUCAUGAAGUCUUUUUUAGUUGUGGUAAUUAUUAUCAUUAUCUGUUUCUGGACAUGGUAGACGCGGACUUGAUGGUGCUAGCUCUAUUUUUAACAUUUCGAUACUCACUGGCUGUUCCUAUUUAUCAUUAGAAAAAACUUUAACGAGAUUCUAUUAGGAUUUUUUAUUAUGUUGAUCAUAUCACCAUUAAAAUUUAUUGAAUCCUUAUCCCACUUAUCUAUUUUUGAAGUUUAAACCUCUAAUGAAUUUUAAUGGCGAGAUGAUGAACAUAACCCUCUCAUGUUUGAUUCAAACAUGAGGGGAUCCAAAUCCAUUCUAUUAUAUCUUCUCUUAUGGGUUUAAGUUGGAUAGUCUUUUAAAGCUCACUGUUCUUGCUUCUAACAAUAAGAUGACACUGAUGCAUUAUCUUUGCAUCUUAUGAGUUACUGAGUAUCAAUUGCCAAUUUGCCAUAAACAAAUAUAUCAUGUGAUUGCUAACCCUUUUUUGUGCAGUGACAAACAGGGAGUCUUUAAAUAGUCACCAAUAGUAUGAAUUCAAGACACUAAAUUUAAGGUAUAGCAACAUAUUUGUUACCAACUUUUUCUUUACCUUUUUAGACUGUGAAUUUACCUUUUGUGUCUAUCUAUUUUUUGCUAACCCUAAAACUGUGAAGCUAGAUAGGUUGAAACAAAAGGGUAAGUGAGGAAAGUUUAAUCAACUUUGUGGUUUAUUGAUGAGUUUUUUUUUUAAUCUCAAUUUUGAAUCCCAGUUUUUUUUUUUUUGAUAAUUUGAAUCCCAGUUAAUGCCUUAGACUCAAUGAAAUGUGUGGCUGCUGUAAAAAGGAAAGGAGAAGUGCAAGAAGACGAUAUUUACAUUAAGUUUCUCACUUCCUUUUCAUUGACGAAGAAAGAGGUAGUACAUUAAGCUAUCUUCCAUAAAUUAAUUUAUUAUUGCCAUCUAUCUUUUAUAUUUGUUCAUCAUCCUAAAAACUACAGACUUAUAUGAAGAGUAUAUAAAGAACAAAAUAACAGUACAGGGGAUGUCAUCUUAUUAUAUUAAGCAACCACUUUAUAUAUCAAUGCAUACAAAAUAAAAUCAAUUAGCCGUUUGACUAUAAAUUUACUUGAACAUGUACUUAUGAUUGUAUUUUAUGCUAUUAGGUGAGUGAAGAUCCAUUCAUCUUGCUUCUUGCAAAGGUAGUAGAAAUUUUAUGUAUUUUGAUUGUCUUAAUUUAAUUUUGUUCCCGGUUGAUUUGGAAGAAGCAGAACAGUGGAUAGUAUAAUGGGUUGUUAGCUUUUUCAUGUAUAAGACUUGGUUUUGGAGUUUUUCAUUAGUUUGGUUUUGGAGUUUUAUAGUUUGAUUUUGGAAAAUUGGAUAGAAGCAAUGCUUGGGCAGUUGGUAAUCCUAUAGAUUUGAUGCUUUUAAGCAGUUUUGGUUCAAUCAUUUAAUCAAUUUCUUUAAAAAAAUUAGUUACAUUGUUUCAUUUUGGUUUCUCUUUUUUGAAAGGUAAUUAUUUUGUUCUAUUCUAAUUUAUAGGAUUAGGAGAUUAUGUUCUCAACGGUAGAUGGAAGAUAUUCACAUUUCAAUAUCUAGCAGUUGGAGCAAUUGCAAUAUGUUGUGUUAAUGUCUCUAUUUUUUCUCUUUUAGUGGAUAUAGUAGAUAAGAUCAAAGAAUACAUAGUUUUGAGUUUUCUCUUUUGUUAGAUAUCAAUUUAGUUUAGAUAAGAUCAAAGAAUACAUAGUAUGAGUUUUAUCUUUUGUUAGAAAUCAGUUUAUCCUUAUCUUCGUUACUUUUUAAAAACAAAAUUAUCUGAUAUCCUCUCUCUCUAUUACUUUCUAUUGUGUUUGUCAUAUUAUCUCCAUCCUAAAUUUGUUUGUUGGAUUUCUCUCCCAGACAUUUUUAAC
rnacentral:lncRNA from 1 species